rnacentral:rRNA from 1 species
UACGGAGGAUCCAAGCGUUAUCCGGAUUUAUUGGGUUUAAAGGGUGCGUAGGCGGCCAUUUAAGUCAGAGGUGAAAGACGGUAGCUCAACUAUCGCAGUGCCUUUGAUACUGAAUGGCUUGAAUGAACUAGAGGUAGGCGGAAUGAGGCAAGUAGCGGUGAAAUGCAUAGAUAUGUCUCAGAACACCGAUUGCGAAGGCAGCUUACUAUGGUUUAAUUGACGCUGAGGCACGAAAGCGUGGGGAUCAAACAGG